rfam:Candidatus Colwellbacteria bacterium RIFCSPLOWO2_01_FTLL_48_10 rifcsplowo2_01_scaffold_2767, whole genome shotgun sequence.
GCUCGGGUGGCGGAAUGGUAUACGCGCAACACUUAAAAUGUUGUGAGGUUCAUCCUCAUGAGGGUUCGACUCCCUCCCCGAGCA